rnacentral:rRNA from 1 species
UACGUAGGGGGCAAGCGUUGUCCGGAUUUAUUGGGCGUAAAGAGCGUGUAGGCGGCCAUACAGGUCAGCUGUGAAAACUCGAGGCUCAACCUCGAGACGUCGGUUGAAACCGUAUGGCUAGAGUCCGGAAGAGGAGAGUGGAAUUCCCGGUGUAGCGGUGAAAUGCGCAGAUAUCGGGAGGAACACCUGUGGCGAAAGCGGCUCACUGGACCACAACUGACGCUGAGGCGCGACAGCGUGGGGAGCAAACAGG